rnacentral:rRNA from 1 species
CACGUAGGGGACGAGCGUUGUCCGGAUUCAUUGGGCGUAAAGCGCGCGUAGGCGGCUCGGAAAGUCGGGCGUGAAAUGCCGGGGCUCAACCCGGGAACUGCGUCCGAUACUGGCAGGCUUGAAUUCGGGAGAGGGAUGCGGAAUUCCAGGUGUAGCGGUGAAAUGCGUAGAUAUCUGGAGGAACACCGGUGGCGAAGGCGGCAUCCUGGACCGAGAUUGACGCUGAGGCGCGAAAGCCAGGGGAGCAAACGGG